rnacentral:lncRNA from 1 species
AUCUCAUUCUUCUCGUAAAGAAAAUGAAACUGAAAUCAUCAGCUUCCAUCGAUUCCCCAAAGAUGAUGUUAUGAGGAAAAAAUGGAUCCCAAUUGGCAUUG